rnacentral:misc_RNA from 1 species
GGCACGCCCGAAGUCGUUACUCCAACCUUUCGGGGGGGAGGAUGCCGAAGGCAGGGCUAGUGACUGGGGUGAAGUCGUAACAAGGUAGCCGUACCGGAAGGUGUGGCUGGAUCACCUCCUUUUUAGGGAGACCCAAUUCAAGUCAAAAGUCAAAAGUCAAAAACUUUUGAGUUGAAUCAAUCCCGAGGUCGUGGCAAGGGGAAGCGAAAACUUUCAAACUAUGAAACGGGUUCGGUGAGGAACCAACAAUGAAAUAUUCUUCAUUGUUAAUUGCUCAUUGUUCAUUGGCAAGGGCUAUUAGCUCAGGUGGUUAG